rnacentral:rRNA from 1 species
GCGGCGGGCCUAACACAUGCAAGUCGGGGGAGAAAGUGGCUUCGGCCAUGAGUACACCGGCGGACGGGUGAGUAACACGUGGGUAAUGUACCUAUCGGCGGGGGAUAACAAUCCGAAAGGAUUGCUAAUACCGCAUACGUCAGUUGGAGCUCCGGCUCCGAUUGAGAAAGCUGGCCUCUCAGCGAAGCUAGCACCGAUAGAUCAGCCCGCGUCCCAUCAGCUAGUUGGUGAGGUAAUGGCUCACCAAGGCUUAGACGGGUAGCUGGUCUGAGAGGAUGAUCAGCCACACUGGGACUGAGACACGGCCCAGACUCCUACGGGAGGCAGCAGUGGGGAAUAUUGGGCAAUGGGCGAAAGCCUGACCCAGCCACGCCGCGUGAGUGAUGAAGGCCUUCGGGUCGUAAAGCUCUGUGGGGAGGGACGAAACAGUUGCUGGCUAAUAUCCAGCGACCUUGACGGUACCUCCUUAGCAAGCACCGGCUAACUCCGUGCCAGCAGCCGCGGUAAUACGGAGGGUGCAAACGUUGCUCGGAAUCAUUGGGCGUAAAGCGCACGUAGGCGGUCUGCUAUGUCGGGUGUGAAAUCCCUCGGCUUAACCGAGGAAGUGCAUCCGAAACUGGCAGACUUGAAUACUCA